GUAGUAUUCAUCGCAUGACCAAGAGAUUGGUUUUCCUCUCAUUUCAGGUUGGUGUGGUGAAGAAAUCAGCUACGAAUGCAUUGCGUUGUGUUGAGAAGUGGAUGGCCCCUCAGAAGGUUUGUAUUUCGGCACCCUUCCGCUUUUCACCCUGAGAUGUAAAUGAAAUUAGCUCAACUGUUAGAGCAAUCUUUGAUGAAAUUAUCCUUAAUGGAGUAACAGGUUCUGAAUGUUGGCUGUAACAACUCCUCUCCUUUCUGUCUUGAAUAAGUAUGUUAGCUAUUGCAGAAAUAAGUACCUUCAUUUUAUACCUCCUAAUUUAGAUUACUAUGUAUUGUCUUACUGGUGAGUCGUCCAAGAGUUUUUGUGGUUCAAAACAAUCUACAGACACGAGGGGGGCCAGAAAAACUUUGAAAGGGGAAAAUGAAUUUGAAUGACUCAGAUAUAGAAUUGUUCUGUUCUGUUACUAAGUAGUCUCUUAAGUAGUAGCAAUAGGAGCUGCAUCGCAUCCUCCAAAAAAGUGUUGCAACAACAUAUAAUAUAAUGAACAGUCUGCAGUUUCGAAUGAAUUGGGGAAAAGCAAUCAAUCCAGAAGUAACAAUGAAGUAGACCUUGUGAUACUAUGACCAUAUUGAAAUUUCAAAGUUCUCUUACUGCAGCAUGCUAUCACUCUUUGUGCGUGAAAGCUGGCAAAUAUCUCUUUUGUUUACUUCAUCUUGGUCAUCUAACCCGAAGGUGAAGGUUAAAAUUGUUCUUUGUCCAUGUUGCUCGGCCAUCUGGCAUCAUUAUCUAUAAUUUGUAAACUAAGUUGUUGAGCAGCCACUGAUGAUGCUAUAUGAGCAGGGCCGAAUGCCAUUAGUUUUCUUUCCAGCAAGAGGGGCUGUAGUCUCAGAGCCGCUGGGAGUAGUGCUCAUUUUUGCAUCCUGGAAUUUUCCCAUCUGUGAGUAAAGUCUUUUUGACUGCUACUGAACAAUCAAACAAAUUCCUUGAAUAUCAAUAUGACUAAGUCAGGAACAAAGUAAUAUGGAUUUUAUACUACUCAUUACUCGAUCGACAUCUACUAGGGUCUCGUUGCUGGUUGUCCGUAACUGUUGCUUUAUAUUUAUUACCCUGUUGUUUCAUCUGCAGCUCUAGCCUUAGAUCCAGUAAUUGGAGCAAUUUCGGCUGGAAACACCAUCGUUCUCAAACCUUCAGAUCUAGCACCAAAAUGCUCCUCUUUUCUAGUCAAUACAAUACCUCUAUACUUGGAUCCAGAAGCUAUUAAAGUUGUUGAAGGUGGAAAAGAAGUGGCAGAACAGCUAUUGCAACUAAAAUGGGACAAGAUAUUUUUUACUGGUAUACCCUAGCCAUUUUGUUUUCUGUGAUCUUUCUCAUGUUUGGGAGGAGCAUUUUGCAGAAGGGCAUUCAGCAACAAGAAUAAUUAAGAAAUGACCUAGAAGAAAGAAUUGUUAGUUAUUGUUAAAAAUAUGAGCAGGAAUAGGAAGAGCAUAUAGACUCCUAUUUGGAAAAGGAUUGUAAUGUAGUGUCAGAUUAGGAAAAGAAUUGGAAUGUAGUGCCUCUAAAUAGGGUCUCAAUGAAAUAAUGUAGUUACAACAAUUCAAUAAUAUUUUUUCUCCUAUAUUUCUCACAAAGCUUCCACGAUCUUGGUAAAGAAUCAAAGAGUUUCCGCUGCCGGCGGGCGGCUAUAAUACAUAUAUGCCACCCAUCUAGCCAACGAUUAUGUUAGCAAAAGUUGGGUCAUCCUGUGUCUUUCUUGUGACUAUUUUCUCAUAUUAGAUUUGCGUAGCAUCGUCCAUUUAUCCGGUGACUACUUUCUCAUAUCAGAUUUUCGUAGCACCGUGCAUCACUACGGACUAUCUCUCAUUUUUAAUUGCGUAGCACCUUCCAUCUCUCCGGACUAGUUCUCAUAUUUAAUUUGUGUAGUACCGUACAUCUUUUCGGAUUACUUUCUCAUAUUUGAGUUGCAUAGCACCGUGUGUUUUUUCGGUGACUCCUUAGAUCUGAUAUGCGUAGGGUCGUGCCAUCAUUUUGAUUCUACCAUAUAAUUUCUCUUUUUCAGUAGGGUCGUAUUGUCAUUUUGACCUUACCCGUAUAUUUUCUCUUUUUUCAGUAGGGUCGUAUCGUCAUUCCAAUCCUACUCAUAUAAUUUUUAUUUUCCAGUAAGGUCGUGUCGUCAUUCUAACCCUACCCAUAUCAUUUUUAUUUCUCAGUAGGGUCGUGUCAUCAUUCCAACCCUACCCAUAUAAUUCUCUCUCAGUGGGUCGUGUUAUCAUCCGACCCUACCCAUAUGUUUUUUUCUCAAAUUGUGACCACUUUUCAUGCCAUCAAAUCUAAUAAUCCGGCGCGUGAGCAUGUUCUGACCUGUCAUCCGGUGACUUUCUUGUUCAAGAUCUACUAAUAUCUUGAUCUCGAGAUGACCCAUAUUAUAUAUAUAUAUAUUAUAUACCAGUCAACGACUGAUCGACUUUCUGGCGAUGUUUACUAUUUUUCGGAUCACUUUUUCAUUUUGUUCCUUUUAAGUUGAGGUCUCCCGGACGUCCAAAGCAGUCCUUGUCAGUUUUCUUGCAGAUAUCUUGACCAAGUCCCUCACAGAUCCUCGUAUUAAUUACAUCUAUAACAAGCUUGACACAUAUGCCUUCUAUGCACCAGCUCGAGGAGAGUGUUUUUUUUUUUUUUAUUUCUCAUCUGGUGUUCGGUGCCCGCAUUGGAGCCCCGACUAAUUCGGAUCACGCGUUGCAGGACCCAUUAAGGUGACAGCGCUCCCAACAAAGUUUUCUCUAUACUUAGGGUCGAACCCUUAACCUCUGAUUAAGGGUGGAGCAGCCCCAUCCACUGCACCAAAAUCCAAAGGAGGAGUGUUAAGAAUAUGAGUAGUGGGAAUAAGAAUAACAUAUAGACUCUUAUUUGGAAAAGGAUUGUAAUGUAGUGUCCGAUUAGGAAAAUAAGUGGAAUGUAUUGCCUAUAAAUAGGGUUUCAAUGAAAUAACGUAAUUACAACAAUUCAAUAAUAUUUUUUCUCCUAUAUUUCUAACAGUUAUGUAUAACAGCCACUUGUGUUGAUGAUGUAAUUCUGUCUUCCUGUUUUGCAGGUAGUCCACAAGUUGGGCGCCUCAUAAUGUCAGCAGCUGCAAAGCAUUUAACACCUGUAACUCUAGAGCUGGGUGGAAAAUGUCCUACCAUCUUUGACACACUAUCUAAUUCCUCUGAUUUACAGGUUUCCAAUGGUUAAAUAUCCUCUAACGUAAUAAUGGUUACUCCAUGUUUCAUCUAAAAAGAAAGUUGAGCUAUAAACUUAAGGCAUAAAGGCAUCUGAAAGGAAAUUGACACUGACACGUCGUUUUGAGUAAAAUUGGACAUUUUUGUCCUAAUAACUGCAUCAAUUUUCUUGGGUAGCGUUAUGAUGUGGAGUGAAGUAUAUAAUUUGUUCAAGCCAUAUUCAUAUUUUGUUCACUGUAUGAUGUUGGGUUUAAGGUGGCUGUCAAGAGGGUAGCGGGUGGCAAGUGGGGUUCAUGCAAUGGACAAGCAUGCAUUGGAAUCGAUUAUGUGCUCGUGGAAACACAAUUUGCUCCCGUUCUGGUAUUAAUGGCAGAUGAGCUGUUAUAUUUACCAUUUCCCUCUUUCUUUCCCAGUAAAAGUUCUUUUCUGUUUUCUCUUUUAGGCAGAUAGUGUAGCCACCUAUUUAUUGUUGUAAUUUCUGGCAUUCCAGAUUGAACUAUUGAAGAAGUACAUCAAGAAAUUUCAUGGUGAAAACCUAAAAACUUUGAAAAAUCUCGCCAGAAUCGUGAACAAGCACCACUUUGAUAGAGUACACAAUCUUCUGAAAGAUCCAAAAGUUGCAGCAGCUGUUGUUUAUGGAGGCUCAGUAGAUGAGAAAAAUAUGUAACCCUCAGUAUCCUAUUCUACUAUUGCGUACAUACCUUGUUCCUCAUUCUAGUUGAUGAUUUUUUCAGGGCCAUUGAGCCAACAAUCUUGUUGAAUCCUCCACUUGAUGCUGAUAUCAUGACUGAAGAAAUAUUUGGCCCAUUGCUUCCAAUCAUCACAGUAAGAGCAAACUCAUGUUCAAGGAAUAUGGUUGCUAUGUUUUACUUGAGAAUGUUGAUCUAUGCUUCCAAUUGAUGUAAAAGGAACUCUCUAUUCAUUCUGUCAGAAAAACUCUUUCAAGAAAAUGUCUGACAGGAAAGUGGUUCUUUUAACAGCUGAAUAAUAUUGAAGAAAGCAUUCAGUUCAUAAACUCGAGGCCAAAACCUCUUGCAAUAUAUGCAUUUACCAAGAACGAGUCAUUGAAGGAGAAGAUCUUGCAGGAAACAUCUUCCGGAAGUCUGACUUUCAAUGAUGCUGUAAUUCAGGUAUGAGGCUCCACCUCCUCUUUCAAAUGUAUCCUCACCCCCUCAGCGAAAUAUAAGCAGAAAAGGAGAUGCUUGAUUUACUUGUCAAAAUAUUGCACUUUCAGUUUAUAUGUGACAUAUUACCAUUCGGAGGCGUUGGUCAGAGUGGUCAUGGACGUUACCAUGGGAAGUACUCUUUUGACACAUUUAGUCAUGAAAAAGCAGUUCUACAUAGGAGCUUCUUAAUUGAGUUGGAACCAAGGUAUCCUCCAUGGAAUGAUUUCAAGAUGGAGUUUGUCAGUUUGGCUUACGACUAUAACUAUGUUGGGCUUAUACUGCUCUUGCUUGGGUUGAGAAGAAUAUUCAGAACAAACCGCAGGCAGUAGAGGAUGAAAUCUUCUGACUCAGAUAAGGUUAAUCUAUCAAACAGAAGUUUCUUACCAAUAUUAAGAUAGCUAAUGUUGUCACUCGCUUGCUCCAGUGGGAAGUUGGGUGCGAAACUGUAUGAGAAUUGUCAUCUGUGUUCAGAAAUCAAUUGUGGUACUCUUAUUUGUUUCAUUACUUGCUAUAUUACAGACAAAAGUUAAAAAUGAGUACUCAUGAAAGUGUUUGUUCAAAGACAACUACUAAAGUUAUUGCUGUAAAGUUACCUCUAGAAUUGCUGUUUUCUUUUUGAUGUGAUUCGUCAAACCUGCAGAAGCAAAUGAAUAUGAUGAUAAAAAAUGUACCUUGGACCUAAACUGCAAAACCAAGUCUCCCAUCAACUAUCGAUGUGGGAGUCUUGACAUACAGAAGCUAGCUCAUAAAGAGUGAAAACAUGUAUUUUCCCUUUCAUAUUGGUUUGGUUGGUUAUUGACAAUAAAAAGUAUUUGUUCCCUUCCUUUAAAAUAAAAAAUAAGAUGGAUAAAUUAAAAUGGAGGGAGGGAGUAAUAUUGUCAAGUUGACCAGUAAGGCUCAAUGAUGUAGGGGAAGAGUCCGCAGCCAGACAUUUUGCCUUUGUUUUUCUAUAUUCAAAAAUCAUACGCAUUAUUCAACACGCGACUUGGCCAACCGGUGCACGCACCCGGAUUGGUUAUAUUCGGAAUGGCCCUCUCUGGAUUCUCCUUGUCCAAAACAACAACACCAUUCCUCACCAAUCUUCCCCAUCCGCCACCGAAAAAUGCCCAACGCGCAUCGGCCUUUCUCAUGCCUAUAACAGAUCUGACUUUAACACAAAUCCGCACCCUCCAUCUGUUCCGAUUCCAUCACCCUAGAUUCCUAUCCAGCCGUAAUAUCGCUGCACUCAAAACUCCGAUGGCUGAGGAAGCGAUUAACAAGGCCACCAUAAAGUCAACGGUGGAUAACAAGAGUACCGUAGAGUCAGCGAUGAAUAACAUAACGGAAUCGGAGAAGAAGAAUGAGGAAGAAUCAAAGGUUACGAUUCCGCCGCCGCCGGAGAAGCCGUUGCCGGACGAUUGUUGCGGGAGUGGAUGUGUUAGAUGCGUGUGGGACAUGUAUUAUGAAGAACUCGAGGAAUACAAUAAGCUUUACAAGAGUAAUCCAGAUGUUAAGUCUUCUUAGAUUGGUUUGGAAAGACUAGGAUUCAUAUAAUUGAUUGCAUCUGUUCAUAUGAAUUGUUGUUUGUUAAAGUAUAUUCGUGGAAUCACUGAUGACAGAUUUAUGAGCAGGCACGUACUGUAAACAAAUUGAAACUUCGUAAACUAAACAUUUAUUUUUCUACUCUUAAUUUCUUGGUUAUCUUCCUUGUGGCUUGGAAACUAGUUUUGGCAAAUAUUGUUAGCAAGAUAGGAAAGCAACUUGUAAUUUUUUUGAUACUUGCGUAACAAAGAUUAAAUUGAUGUAGUAUAACUAUAACGCGAAGCCAAGGCAGAUUGCGUGUAAAAGAUCUUGUGUUGAACUCACCUCUGUUUUAGACGGCUAGGGACUGCUAGACUCCCAGCGUUGUUGACCUCAAAUUGACAAAUUCUUCAUCAAAUGGGUCAUAAAAUGUUCAAUUUAUCUACAAAAUCAUAGGGGUUGAGAAUAACUCAAGUAAUAAGUCAUAGUAUUGCAUAUAAUUACUAAAAAAAUCACAAGAAAAAAAGUUGAAAUAUUUUAAGAGUUGUGAAUGAUUUCUCGGGUUCCGUUAUAGGGCCAAAAAGUCCAUUCUAUGUUCGAGUGCUAAAUAAUUACACGUUAGCUCUGAAAAGUCUACAUUCUAAUAUGUGUUUGGGUU
rnacentral:lncRNA from 1 species